GACGAACCGUGCGAACGUUGUUCGGAUUCACUGGGCUUAAAGGGCGCGUAGGCGGCUUGCCAAGUCAGGGGUGAAAUCUUCGGCUUAACCGGAAAAGUGCUUCUGAUACUGGCAGGCUGGAGGGAGGUAGGGGCAGGAUGGAACUUCCGGUGGAGCGGUGAAAUGCGUAGAUAUCGGAAGGAACGCCGGUGGCGAAAGCGAUCUGCUGGACCUCUUCUGACGCUGAUGCGCGAAGCCAGGGGAGCAAACGGG
rnacentral:rRNA from 1 species